rnacentral:rRNA from 1 species
GACGAACGCUGGCGGCGUGCCUAAUACAUGCAAGUAGAACGCUGAAGAGAGGAGCUUACUCUUCUUGGAUGAGUUGCGAACGGGUGAGUAACGCGUAGGUAACCUGCCUUGUAGCGGGGGAUAACUAUUGGAAACGAUAGCUAAUACCGCAUAACAAUGGAUGACACAUGUCAUUUAUUUGAAAGGGGCAAUUGCUCCACUACAAGAUGGACCUGCGUUGUAUUAGCUAGUAGGUGAGGUAAUGGCUCACCUAGGCGACGAUACAUAGCCGACCUGAGAGGGUGAUAGGCCACACUGGGACUGAGACACGGCCCAGACUCCUACGGGAGGCAGCAGUAGGGAAUCUUCGGCAAUGGGGGCAACCCUGAACGAGCAACGCCGCGUGAGUGAAGAAGGUUUUCGGAUCGUAAAGCUCUGUUGUAAGUCAAGAACGGGUGUGAGAGUGGAAAGUUCACACUGUGACGGUAGCUUACCAGAAAGGGACGGCUAACUACGUG